rnacentral:rRNA from 1 species
GACGAACGCUGGCGGCGUGCUUAACACAUGCAAGUCGAACGGAAAGGCCCUGCUUUUGUGGGGUGCUCGAGUGGCGAACGGGUGAGUAACACGUGAGUAACCUGCCCUUGACUUUGGGAUAACUUCAGGAAACUGGGGCUAAUACCGGAUAGGAGCUCCUGCUGCAUGGUGGGGGUUGGAAAGUUUCGGCGGUUGGGGAUGGACUCGCGGCUUAUCAGCUUGUUGGUGGGGGAGUGGCUUACCAAGGCUUUGACGGGUAGCCGGCCUGGGAGGGUGACCGGCCACAUUGGGACUGCGAUACGGCCCAGACUCCUACGGUAGGCAGCAGUGGGGAAUAUUGCACAAUGGGCGGAAGCCUGAUGCAGCAACGCCGCGUGCGGGAUGACGGCCUUCGUGUUGUAAACCGCUUUCGCCUGUGACGAAGCGUGAGUGACGGUAAUGGGUAAAGAAGCACCGGCUAACUACGUG